rnacentral:misc_RNA from 1 species
AAGUCGUAACAAGGUUUCCGUAGGUGAACCUGCGGAGGGAUCAUUACAGAGUGUAAAAACUCCCAAACCCACUGUGAACAUACCUCGCGUUGCCUCGGCGGGCCGCCCCGCGUCUCCGGACGGCGGGGUCCGCCGGCGGCCCACGAAACUCUUGUCGGUAUUUGGCAUCUCUGAACGCAAACUAAAAUCAGUUAAAACUUUCAACAACGGAUCUCUUGGUUCUG